GCGAUCGUAGCUCAGUUGGUAGAGCACCGGGUUGUGAUCCUGGAUGUCGCGGGUUCGAGUCCCGUCGGUCGCC
rnacentral:tRNA from 1 species